rnacentral:rRNA from 1 species
CCUACGGGCGACAGCAGUGAGGAAUAUUGGUCAAUGGACGAGAGUCUGAACCAGCCAAGUAGCGUGAAGGAUGACUGCCCUAUGGGUUGUAAACUUCUUUUAUAUGGGAAUAAAACGUUCCACGUGUGGGAUUUUGUAUGUACCAUAUGAAUAAGGAUCGGCUAACUCCGUGCCAGCAGCCGCGGUAAUACGGAGGAUCCGAGCGUUAUCCGGAUUUAUUGGGUUUAAAGGGAGCGUAGGUGGAUUGUUAAGUCAGUUGUGAAAGUUUGCGGCUCAACCGUAAAAUUGCAGUUGAAACUGGCAGUCUUGAGUACAGUAGAGGUGGGCGGAAUUCGUGGUGUAGCGGUGAAAUGCUUAGAUAUCACGAAGAACUCCGAUUGCGAAGGCAGUUCACUGGACUGCAACUGACACUGAGGCUCGAAAGUGUGGGUAUCAAACAGGAUUAGAUACCCUGUAGUC